CUACGGGCGGCAGCAGUUAAGUAUAUUCUGCAAUGCGCGAAAGCGUGACAGAGUGAAUCAGAGUGCUUUUCAAUGAAAAGCUUUUGUGUAGUGUAAAAAGCUACACGAAUAAGGACUGGGUAAGACGAGUGCCAGCCGCCGCGGUAAUACUCGCGGUCCAAGUCGCAGCCAUUUUUAUUGGGUCUAAAACAUCCGUAGCUUGUUUAAUAAGUUCUUUGUGAAAUCCUAUAUCUCAAGUAUAGAACGAGCAGAGAAUACUAUUAGGCUAGAGACUGGAAGACGUAAGAAGUACGAUUUAGGUAGCGGUAAAAUGUUUUAAUCUUAAUCGGACUAACAAGAGCGAAGGCAUCUUACGAGUACAGUUCUGACAGUAAGGGAUGAAGGCCAGGGGCGCAAAACGGAUUAGAUACCCGUGUAGUC
rnacentral:rRNA from 1 species